rnacentral:ncRNA from 2 species
UACUCAUGUAGAGGAUGCGAGGGAAAUCGGCCCGUCGACCAUCCGGCAACCUGCUUCAGCAGCAAGGUGCCAAUGCCUUCCCGUUACGGGACCCAUGAGAG